GGAAGUAAAAGCCGUAACAAGGUCUCCGUAGGUGAACCUGCGGAGGGAUCAUUACAGAGUUCUCGCCCUUACGGGUAGAUCUCCCACCCACUGUUAUCGUUACUGUCGUUUCUUUGGCGGGCCGCCGGGUCCCCGGCCGCCGGCGCCUAGCUGCCGGCGCGCGCCCGCCAGAGGCCUUCAAACUCUGAAUGUUAGUGUCGUCUGAGUACUAUAUAAUAGUUAAAACUUUCAACAACGGAUCUCUUGGUUCUG
rnacentral:misc_RNA from 1 species